UAGGGAAUCUUGCGCAAUGGGCGAAAGCCUGACGCAGCCAUGCCGCGUGAAUGAUGAAGGUCUUAGGAUUGUAAAAUUCUUUCACCGGGGAAGAUGAUGACGGUACCCGGAGAAGAAGCCCCGGCUAACUUCGUGCCAGCAGCCGCGGUAAUACGAAGGGGGCUAGCGUUGCUCGGAAUUACUGGGCGUAAAGGGCGCGUAGGCGGAUAUUUAAGUUGGGGGUGAAAGCCCGGGGCUCAACCUCGGAAUAGCCUUCAAUACUGGAUAUCUUGAGUUCGGGAGAGGUGAGUGGAAUGCCGAGUGUAGAGGUGAAAUUCGUAGAUAUUCGGCGGAACACCAGUGGCGAAGGCGACUCACUGGCCCGAUACUGACGCUGAGGCGCGAAAGCGUGGGGAGCAAACAGGAUUAGAUACCCUGGUAGUCCACGCCGUAAACGAUGAGUGCUAGUUGUCGGCAUGCAUGCAUGUCGGUGACGCAGCUAACGCAUUAAGCACUCCGCCUGGGGAGUACGGUCGCAAGAUUAAAACUCAAAGGAAUUGACGGGGGUCAUAGCUGUUUCCUG
rnacentral:rRNA from 1 species